rnacentral:lncRNA from 1 species
GACCCGAAAGGUGCCUAGAUCUUUGGGGAAAUCUUCCAAAACGUCGCCAUUUUUUGGCAUUUAUAUACAAGUAUGUAACAAAAAAUGCGUGUUCUCGCGUACGAAUGAAAACUAAAAAUGGAGAAAUUUAUACUAGGAAUACAAAAUCGAGACAUCUUUUUUUUUUCUCAAACAAAAGAGGUGUUAGCAUGCUUGAUUUGGAAUAUCAUCCAGGUGCUGUAAAAAGCUUCGAGACUUUUAUUCCAUUGGUUGCAGUGAUUGUUGAAUUGGGCCCUUCGAUGAAAUCCCAUCGACGAUAUUCUUCCAUUUCUUGUGUCCAUGCUUGAAUUUUCCUGCUCCUUUUUGAGUGGUUCACGACGGCACAAAUAUGAACCUGUACCUGAUUCUUGGAAAGAAAGCGUCGCAGUUGGAGAACGGUUCGCCCUCGUCCGAGGUGUCGAACCCGGUAACAUCACCUGAUUGGUACAGUUGGUAUGAAUGAACUGAGCUUGUCAGGAAACUAGCGAGUGCGAAUUGGUCGACAACUCAAAGUACCGGAAUAUUUUAAGCAAAUUAGCUCUGCAAAAAUCCGCUAGGCAAUGGAAUGCAGAUGAAAGGAAAAUUUGGCAUUCAGUUUGAAUUCCAACUUUCAGCUUCGGGAAUGUAACUCCACCUAUUGGAUUUCCGUAGAAGUCAUCUCAUUUAGGAUGCUGCAAGAACAUCUCAGAGAAACGGUUUCACAUCCGCGUCGGGGGGCUACUAAGAUCUUCAAUAAAUACGGUGUUAUCUUGGCUUGAAGGUCAAGCCUGAGUGUAUUAGCUAGAACAGCUUUUAUCUUGAUACUGUGGGAAGCGAAAAUAUCGCGCUGUGACCUUUGCGGCCGUUUUGCUUUCGAUUGAUCUUCUUCACACGUCUGACCUAGAGCUGCGUUCCAACCCGGAUCAACCGAACACUGCUAUAUCAUGGCAACGUCUCGAGCGAGCACUUUGAAAACAGUACAUGAAGCAGUUCGUUUUUUUUUUUUUUUUUUUUUGAAACCACCUUGUAAGUGCAUUUCCCAGAACGUGUUUCUUCAUUCCUAGUUGCGUGCAUAAAUUUUCUCAAGUAAGUUGGCGCUAAAGGGGAGUGUAGAUAACUCGACUUUAAAAGAAAAUUGUAUAUCAAUGAUCUGUGAUGUAGCGUGCACUGUUUCUCAUAUACGUGAGAUAUCCGGUAUUCGAGAGCGAAAGAGAGAGAGACCGUUGCCGCUUGUCCUUGCAAGUCAGCAAGCCAGCGUUGAAAUCACUGUUGUCAGGAGCAAAGCGGCGGCCAUGUAAUCGACGUCCGCCGCGAUAACUGUUGAACUUGGUGUCGCCCACCUCUUUCCUUCCAAGUGACGUCACGCGAGGUAUGCGGUGACGUCAUUUCCGGCGUGUAACCUCCUCGGCCUCUUCUUCCUCCUCCUCAACGGUGCGAGUGUUUAUGCUUCUCACUUUUCGGCGUGGUGAAAAGUCACGCCUUCGUUCGUACUUGACCGAAGCCGAAAAGUCGAGUCGCCGUGCUCGUCUAAACCAGCAGGAUUGUGCCACUGCUUGUUGUGUAAAGGUCUUCGAUGGAAUUUGCGCUCCGUUUGACCGCCUCGCUGUUGUCGGUGUCACGACGUACGACGCGUCGCUGCUUUGGUCGUUCGCCAAAGGUUGGCGACGUCGAAGUUGGCGGCGCCAGGAUUAUGUACCACUAUACAGCCGUCGUGUGAUUUGCUGGGCUUUGUUCAGACGCAGCUUUCGCUUGUCUCGUGAUUGGUCGAUUGAACUGCGCUAAACGAUGCGCUAAACGAGUUUCAGAUAACGUUGUCUCGGAAGCAGUGUAUUUUUUUUUAUCUCACGCAUACUGUGCAUACUGAAAGUUUGUUUUUGUUUUUGUGAACGCUUGUGUAAGGCCUGUCAAAUAAGAAAUGCAAUCUCGCAAUUUCUAGCCAAACGCAUUCCUUGUCAUGUACUAGCACGGAGGUUAUUUUUGCAUUGCUUCUUGUCAAGGCGACAGAGGCUGUCAUUAUGUCAGUGAAUUUCUGAAACGAAAACUGGCAGUGCAUGUUUUUGCUGUUGUUCAUCUGACAGAGUAUGUGAAUCAUCGGUUGCUAUGUAAACAUGCAGGAAUGGCGUUCAACUCCACGUUGAGCGCCACUCUUGAGAGGCUGGCGAUGCCGUCGUCGAACCUGUGCCGUAAUUAUAUGCCCGUGUAUCUUGCUUGAGGUCAGACACGUAUUCUGUGGGCGCAUCGGCCAAUGUCAGAUGAACUUUUUUGGCGUGUGUAAUUUACUUAGGUUGCUAUUGCCGACACAGUGCUAUUCCGCUACGAUCUUGAAUUGGACCGUCAUCUUGUUGGCCCUGAUUGGCUCAAAGGACGCCUACGUAUUCUUUGAGUGGCGCAGAAAGCAAUCAGGUGUUCUAAAACAAGGCGGACUUGAGUCGUGUCUAAAAUAGCACCCCUGCAGCGCCAUACGUUGUUCAAGAAGGUUAUGAUGACUUCUCGCGCGAGUAUUCAGCCGCCUGUAGCGGAGCUUUAUAAAAGCUCUUGAUGAAUCUGUCACCCUUUCACAGUAAGGUUUGAUUUGAGAACUUGUAUGCUUGUGUCGGUCAUCAGCAAGUGGCAAUGUACUAUCCGUCUGCACAGCCAACUUUUGUGCUAAGUUUUAUUUUAUUACACACUCUCUUCUUUAGAGAAAACCGAUCAUAACCUAUCUCAGAAGCGUUACUUUUUGUCGAUCACCCAUACCCUUAUCGACAAGCGUUAGCUGCGUUCGAAACCGGCCCAACUGUCGUUUCUGCCGCCGACUGGGAAUGUGAUUGCCCAGGGAUUAUUGCGCUGAUUCUCUUGUACGCGAGUGUACGUGUUCAUAUGCAUUUCUCCGAAUCACUGCUGCUUACUGAAAGCGCGGUUUCUCGAAAGUCAUUCACGCGACGAACUGCCCGUCUGUGUUCUAGCUCCACAACGAUCAUUUUCAGGCUAGGGCUGGGCAGCGAACUGGCAAGCACGCUUUUAUAUGUUACGGAAAGUCGCUUCUGAUGGCAACCACUUCUAUUCUGCGUUCUCGCGACUCGUAGAGAGUUUUAGGUGACUGGGAACCUGAGCAACAGGCCUGACGUUCCUGCGCACAGUGUCCCUUCAAGCGCAUUGCGCAUGCGCAAGGACAUCGCGGCCACAGCGCAAACUGUUCCGUAGCAGGGUCCACACUCAUCUAUCGUCCUCUCUCUUUCUCCAGUUAUUUGUGUGGCGCUGCAGGCAAUUCAUGUUUUGUAUACCGCUGCAUUCAAAAAACUUCAUAGGGAGUUUUAGCUUAGCGCAACUAUAGGAUAUCGUUACGCAAGCCGUUUAUUUCAUGCUGUUUCCUAACGUCGAAAAUGUGGAUACAACGCUUUCAACUUUUAGUCGGUUUUCACGCGUACGUGGCAGAGUAUCAGGAGAUAAUGACGCUGUCCGAAAUUGUCUGAUAUGUAGUCUUCCUAGACGAGAUACAAGCGGGAUUCCACGAUAGGCAAAUAACACUAAUUGGGCUUCCACCUGGGGCCACAUGCCGAAGCCGAAGCGGACCGUGCAUGAACUCCAAUUUUUAUGCGCUGCCUCAUAACCGGGUAGUAAAUAUGGCUCUGAAAAUUGCGUUUCUCUAAACCUUCCCAAUAAGCACGUGUUCUUAGCACAAUAUCGGCCUGAUUCUAUGCCUAUGACAUGGGCUCUUUCGUAUUUAUACGCCGAAGUAUAUAUACUGUGCGUGGAGCUCGUAGCAUGACGCUGGAAGUGCGAUUGGAACGCCGGUAUAUUAGAGAGCUUUAGUGCACCGCAAGUAUGCCCCCGCUCACAUCAACACCUUACAUUAGCGGGAACUAGGAAUCGAAUGCGGCCGGGCCUGAAACGUUAAUGCAGUGUCGGCCGUGUACAUCUUCCUAUUUCCUGGUAAUGCACGUAGUGCGUACGUAUCGGCAGUGCGCUAAAACUCCCCAAUAUUCCGGCGCUACGAACGCCCUACCGAACACUCAUUCUACGGGCUGCACGCACUGUAAAGGCAGUACUGGAAAUUGCUUGGAGGCAAUACCCCGAAGUCGAAGCAUGCAGCAUGUCCAGCUGUGCAGAAGCUUCCAUUGUUGUGGGGCACUGCUGUAGAACGCCCCAGCUGUCACUUUGGAGGUCGCCUACCGCUGCGAAAAAAAAAACACAUGUUCGCGCGCAAGGACGAAAGAAAUGCUGAGCCGAACGAGCACUAAGGCUACGCGGUGUAACCGAUGCCGCCUUCCUUUCGCUGCCUUCCUGCUGUACUUUUAUUUUGCUUUCUUAUUUCGACUUUUUAGAUCGGCCAUCGGCUCGUUCCAAAUGCAACAAGAGUUCGUUCACUCUUGCAGCUUCCGUAGAUUUUUUUUUUUUUUUCGCAUCGGUCGCUUCAAAGUUUGAAGAGUUAUGCGUGUUAUGACAUUUACUUGUCAGAGGAACUUGUUUGCUUUCGUUUAACAUUAAAGCUAAUUCCGAAGUCGGCUUUCUUUCUUACUUUAGCUUCUUCUUCCUUUGCUAAUUUCUGUCUUGGGCGUGUUGCUCCUGUGGCUUUGGACAGAAGCAAUUAUCUUGAAUAUAACUUUCUUCCUUUCCCGCUCCGAAUUAUUUCAACCAGUCUCUUAGAGAAACCGGGGAUUUUUCUUUUCUACUUCUUUUUUUUUUCUAGGAGAUCGGAGCGUUUAUCAAAAUAAGUUCGGCGACGCCUUACGUCGCCAUCUUGCGUCGCCAGAGGGAGACACUUGCUUCAGGCAGGGUUUCAUUUUCCCAGCCUUUAUUUGUUCCGGCAGAGAGAAGCAAUGUUCUUUUCCGAUGAAGUGCUGAAAUCGAAGGUCACAGAGUAGUUAUAGUCGGGUCCGUUCCCCUGUCACACGACAAUUAAAUUCUGCUUUAAGAAGCGGAUGUUAAUCUCUAAUCGUUCAUUUUAUGACGUGGUCCUCCUGCCUGAACGAAGGCACACACAAA